rnacentral:sRNA from 1 species
AUCUCACUACACCAAGAAUUCUAGGUACUUAGUAGGCCCUCACUAAAUCUGCAAAUGAUUGAUAAAUACUGUUCCACUGGAUUUUGAUUUCUUUUUGAACAUUUAAUGGACUCCCUAAAAGAGCCGUCUUACUUCUGAACUUGGUGAACUUGUAUUUGGUUAUUGAAUGAGUUUGCAUGAGUCUUUGGGGACAAUGGGAGAAAAACUUUGAAAUUUCAUCAGUUUAUCCAUUGUGGAUCUAGUUUAGUAUAUUUCUGUCAGAUCAGCAAAUCUCGUUUUCAAAGGAAGGUAAAAUCUAGCGUAUUAGGGAAGGAAUUUUAAAGCAUUGUCUUUUUAUUACACUAACACCCUCCUGUCUUCUAUUUUUUAGGAAAUAUUCUGCUGUACGUAGAGAUGGCUCUUUCCAUUAUGUCCACAGUACGCCCUUUGGCAACUAUUCGUUCAUCUGUGUAGAUGCCACUGUAAAUCCAGGGCCUAAGAGACCCUAUAAUUUCUUUGGAAUUUUAGAUAAGAAAAAGAUGGAGGAGCUCUUAUUACUGGCCAAGGAAAGCAGUCGGAGCAACCAUACAAUUUGGUUUGGACACUUUACAACAUCCACUAUUCUUUCUCCAUCACCAGGAAUCCGGUCAAUAAUGAGUUCGGCUAUAGCUUAUUUGUGUGGACAUCUCCAUACACUUGGUGGACUGAUGCCUGUUUUGCACACUCGUCACUUCCAGGGCACUUUGGAACUUGAGGUGGGAGACUG